AUUGAACGCUGGCGGCAUGCCUUACACAUGCAAGUCGAACGGUAACGGGUCCUUCGGGAUGCCGACGAGUGGCGAACGGGUGAGUAAUAUAUCGGAACGUGCCCAGUAGUGGGGGAUAACUGCCCGAAAGAGCAGCUAAUACCGCAUACGACCUGAGGGUGAGAGGGGGGGAUCGCAAGACCUCUCGCUAUUGGAGCGGCCGAUAUCAGAUUAGCUAGUUGGUGGGGUAAAGGCCUACCAAGGCAACGAUCUGUAGUUGGUCUGAGAGGACGACCAGCCACACUGGGACUGAGACACGGCCCAGACUCCUACGGGAGGCAGCAGUGGGGAAUUUUGGACAAUGGGCGCAAGCCUGAUCCAGCAAUGCCGCGUGCAGGAAGAAGGCCUUCGGGUUGUAAACUGCUUUUGUCAGGGGAGAAAUCUUCUGGGCUAAUACCCCGGGAGGAUGACGGUACCUGAAGAAUAAGCACCGGCUAACUACGUGCCAGCCGCCGCAGUAA
rnacentral:rRNA from 1 species